UGGCGGACGGGUGAGUAACGCGUGGGUAACCUGCCUCAUACAGGGGGAUAACAGUUAGAAAUGACUGCUAAUACCGCAUAAGACCACAGCACCGCAUGGUGUAGGGGUAAAAACUCCGGUGGUAUGAGAUGGACCCGCGUCUGAUUAGGUAGUUGGUGGGGUAACGGCCUACAAGCCGACGAUCAGUAGCCGACCUGAGAGGGUGACCGGCCACAUUGGGACUGAGACACGGCCCAA
rnacentral:rRNA from 1 species